rnacentral:lncRNA from 1 species
AGAUACUCUCAAGAGAAGUGUAGUAUACUCUCUUUAUUUGUGAGAAGAAGUUUAACCACUCCAAUAUUUUAUCCAUUUAUUUUUUAUUUUACCACCUCCUUGAGAGGUGCAUUAUCAUCAUUAAAAAAUGGGAGAAUAUGGAUCCACGUAAUUGCAGGUACAACUGUCUGCAACUAUUAAACGAUACUAUUGGUUUCGAUGAUGACGACUCCUUAUCUUAAAU